rnacentral:rRNA from 1 species
GAUGAACGCUGGCGGCGUGCCUAAUACAUGCAAGUCGAGCGAACAGACGAGGAGCUUGCUCCUCUGACGUUAGCGGCGGACGGGUGAGUAACACGUGGAUAACCUACCUAUAAGACUGGGAUAACUUCGGGAAACCGGAGCUAAUACCGGAUAAUAUAUUGAACCGCAUGGUUCAAUAGUGAAAGACGGUUUUGCUGUCACUUAUAGAUGGAUCCGCGCCGUAUUAGCUAGUUGGUAAGGUAACGGCUUACCAAGGCAACGAUGCGUAGCCGACCUGAGAGGGUGAUCGGCCACACUGGAACUGAGACACGGUCCAGACUCCUACGGGAGGCAGCAGUAGGGAAUCUUCCGCAAUGGGCGAAAGCCUGACGGAGCAACGCCGCGUGAGUGAUGAAGGUCUUCGGAUCGUAAAACUCUGUUAUUAGGGAAGAUCAAAUGUGUAAGUAACUAUGCACGUCUUGACGGUACCUAAUCAGAAAGCCACGGCUAACUACGUG